rnacentral:rRNA from 1 species
GAGUAAAGACCUCGGUCGCUUUGGGAGGAGCUCGCCUACUAUCAGCUUGUUGGUAGGGUAACGGCCUACCAAGGCUAUGACGGUUAGGGGGUGUGAGAGCAUGACCCCCAGCAUUGGCACUGAAACACUGGCCAAACACCUACGGGUGGCUGCAGUCGAGAAUCUUCCACAAUGGGGGAAACCCUGAUGGAGCGAUGCUGCGUGCGGGAUGAAGGCCUUCGGGUUGUAAACCGCUUUUGUAGGGGACGAAAUUUUUGACGGUACCCUUUCGAAUAAGAGGUUGCUAACUCUGUGCCAGCAGCAGCGGUAAUACAGAGACCUCAAGCGUUAUCCGGAUUUACUGGGCGUAAAGCGUCUGUAGGGGGUUUAUUAAGUUCCAAGUAAAAUUUCAAGGCUCAACUUUGAAUUCGCUUGGAAAACUAAUAAACUGGAGUCUAGCAGAGGUGCAUGGAACUUGUGGUGUAGGAGUGAAAUCCGUUGAUAUCACAAGGAACACCAAAGGCGAAGGCAUUGCACUGGGCUAGCACUGACCCUGAGAGACGAAAGCGUGGGGAGCAAAACGGAUUAGAUACCCGUGUAGUCCACGCCCUAAACGAUGAAUGCUAAAUGUUCGGGGAUUCGACCCCCUGGGUGUUACAGCUAACGCGUUAAGCAUUCCGCCUGGGAAGUACGGCCGCAAGGCUAAAACUCAAAGGAAUAGACGGGGAUCCGCACAAGCGGUGGAGCGUCUGGUUUAAUUCGACAGUAAGCGUGGUACCUCACCAGGGUUUGACAUCCCUUGACAGCCUUGGAAACAAGGUUUCCUUCGGGCAAGGUGACAGGUGCUGCAUGGUCGUCGUCAGUUCGUGCCGUGAGGUGUUCCGCUAAGUCGGGAAACGAAGCGAAACCCGUAU